GUGGUUAUGGGUCAGGUACGGGGUUAUGGGGCAGAUAUGGGGUUAUGGGGUAAAUAUGGGGUCUGUGGGAUGGUUUUGGGGCAGAUACGGGGUUAUGGGGUUGUUCUGCGGUCUGUGGGGCGAUGUGGGGCAGUUGGGGUGGCUGAUAUGGGGCUGUGGGGUGGUUAUGGGGCAGGUACGGGGUUAUGGGGCAGAUAUGGGGUUAUGGGGUAAAUAUGGGGUCUAUGGGAUGGUUUUGGGGCAGAUACGGGGUUAUGGGGCGGUUCUGCAGUCUAUGGGGCGAUGUGGGGCAGUUGGGGUGGCUGAUAUGGGGCUGUGGGGUGGUUAUGGGGCAGGUACGGGGUUAUGGGGCAGAUAUGGGGUUAUGGGGUAAAUAUGGGGUCUAUGGGAUGGUUUUGGGGAAGACAUGGAGUUAUGGGGCAGGUAUGGGGUCUAUGGGGUUGUUAUGGGGCCUGUG
ensembl:lncRNA